rnacentral:piRNA from 1 species
UGUGAAGAAAGCCGAUGGA